GACGAACGCUGGCGGCGUGCCUAAUACAUGCAAGUUGAGCGAUGAAGAUUGGUGCUUGCACCAAUUUGAAGAGCAGCGAACGGGUGAGUAACGCGUGGGGAAUCUGCCUUUGAGCGGGGGACAACAUUUGGAAACGAAUGCUAAUACCGCAUAAAAACUUUAAACAUAAGUUUUAAGUUUGAAAGAUGCAAUUGCAUCACUCAAAGAUGAUCCCGCGCUGUAUUAGCUAGUUGGUGAGGUAAAGGCUCACCAAGGCGAUGAUACAUAGCCGACCUGAGAGGGUGAUCGGCCACAUUGGGACUGAGACACGGCCCAAACUCCUACGGGAGGCAGCAGUAGGGAAUCUUCGGCAAUGGACGAAAGUCUGACCGAGCAACGCCGCGUGAGUGAAGAAGGUUUUCGGAUCGUAAAACUCUGUUGGUAGAGAAGAACGUUGGUGAGAGUGGAAAGCUCAUCAAGUGACGGUAACUACCCAGAAAGGGACGGCUAACUACGUG
rnacentral:rRNA from 1 species